rnacentral:rRNA from 1 species
UACGUGGGGGGCAAGCGUUGUCCGGAAUCAUUGGGCGUAAAGCGCGUGUAGGCGGUUCGGUAAGUCUGCUGUGAAAGUCCAGGGCUCAACCCUGGGAUGCCGGUGGAUACUGUCGGACUAGAGUACGGAAGAGGCGAGUGGAAUUCCCGGUGUAGCGGUGAAAUGCGCAGAUAUCGGGAGGAACACCAAUUGCGAAGGCAGCUCGCUGGGACGUUACUGACGCUGAGGAGCGAAAGCAUGGGGAGCGAACAGG